rnacentral:tRNA from 1 species
GCGGGCGUAGCUCAAUGGUAGAGUGUAAGCUUCCCAAGCUUGUGACGAGGGUUCGAUUCCCUUCGCCCGCUCCA